GCCAUCCCAUCAGAUCCUAAAAAUUUCCCGUUCAUUUUGGUCGGGAACAAGAUUGAUCUAGAAGGUGGAAGCAGAAGAAUGCAAGUUUUUUAGAAGAAAAAAAAGGAAUGGUGUGCCUCCAAGGGCGAUAUUCCGUAUUUUGAAACCUCUGCAAAAGAGGACUACAAUGUUGACACUGCUUUUCUAUGCGUUGCAAAGCUUGAUUUGGAGAAUGAGCAUGAUCAAGACAUUUACUUCAAGACUGUUGCAGAACAAGUCCCAGCGGAUACUGAACAGAGAAGCGGAUGUGCUUGCUAGCAGUAAUGCAUUUCUGUUCACCGGCUGAAAUCAUUUGCAAGCAAUGCAGGGCACUCUUUAGCUGUCACCGCAUACAAUAAGCUCACAUAGCAUCUGUUUCGCUAGCUCAUGUAGCCAUUCUUGAUUGGAAGUACGACAUUAGUGGCUGUUACCUAGAAUGGCAGCUGGGGGUGUUUGCAAGCUCUGCUUGCGCCUGCUCUCCUAGAAUGGCUAGGACUAGGACAAUAAAAAGUACACCCUCGCAGAAGAUAAUUCUGGCCAAGACAUGUGUAGCAGUCGAACUCCUCGUCAGUUGUAACUUUUUUUUUAACUCCAACUUUUACUGUAUCUUGACUUCUUGAUGCAAAUAUCAUGCAUAAUACGUGUAAAACUGUCUCCUCGGAGACAUCCGAUACACGUAAAACUA